rnacentral:rRNA from 1 species
CACAAGCGGUGGAUGAUGUGGAUUAAUUCGAUGCAACGCGAAGAACCUUACCUACCCUUGACAUGGCAGGAAUCCUGAAGAGAUUUGGGAGUGCUCGAAAGAGAACCUGCACACAGGUGCUGCAUGGCUGUCGUCAGCUCGUGUCGUGAGAUGUUGGGUUAAGUCCCGCAACGAGCGCAACCCUUGUCAUUAGUUGCCAUCAUUUGGUUGGGCACUCUAAUGAGACUGCCGGUGACAAACCGGAGGAAGGUGGGGAUGACGUCAAGUCCUCAUGGCCCUUAUGGGUAGGGCUUCACACGUCAUACAAUGGUCGGUACAGAGGGUUGCCAACCCGCGAGGGGGAGCUAAUCCCACAAAGCCGAUCGUAGUCCGGAUCGCAGUCUGCAACUCGACUGCGUGAAGUCGGAAUCGCUAGUAAUCGUGGAUCAGCAUGUCACGGUGAAUACGUUCCCGGGUCUU